ACCAGUUUGACGUUUACUUGACCGCAUUGAAUCAGCUGGUUAUAUGUGUUGUUUAUCAUUCUCGAAACAAUAACAUCAUUAUAUGAUUUGUUUUCUUCCAUUCUGCUGUUCAAUAUCGUUCGGAAAGCUUAGAUCAAGUGAAGAAAUCAGGAUAUUGUAGUGUGUCAGUGCUAUCUGAGGGCAGCUGACUGUAUCGGCGUCAUGGACGGAGCCGGUUUGCAUCCCCGAACUAUUGGAAGAUCCGAGAUAUAGGAUCAUUCCACUUUUUUGCCGAUCUGCAAGCAAAAAUUCAUCAAGAGCACAGCAGAUCCAGCUUAAUCAAUGUAUGCUAGAGAUCGCUUGCUUGACCAACAAA